rnacentral:rRNA from 1 species
GAUGAACGCUGGCGGCGUGCCUAAUACAUGCAAGUCGAGCGAACAGACGAGGAGCUUGCUCCUCUGACGUUAGCGGCGGACGGGUGAGUAACACGUGGAUAACCUACCUAUAAGACUGGGAUAACUUCGGGAAACCGGAGCUAAUACCGGAUAAUAUAUUGAACCGCAUGGUUCAAUAGUGAAAGACGGUUUUGCUGUCACUUAUAGAUGGAUCCGCGCCGCAUUAGCUAGUUGGUAAGGUAACGGCUUACCAAGGCAACGAUGCGUAGCCGACCUGAGAGGGUGAUCGGACACACUGGAACUGAGACACGGUCCAGACUCCUACGGGAGGCAGCAGUAGGGAAUCUUACGCAAUGGGCGAAAGCCUGACGGAGCAACGCCGCGUGAGUGAUGAAGGUCUUCGGAUCGUAAAACUCUGUUAUUAGGGAAGAACAAAUGUGUAAGUAACUAUGCACGUCUUGACGGUACCUAAACAGAAAGCCACGGCUAACUACGUG